CGUCUGGUGGCGAGUGGCGAACGGGUGAGUAAUGUAUCGGAACGUGCCCAGUAGCGGGGGAUAACUACGCGAAAGCGUAGCUAAUACCGCAUACGCCCUACGGGGGAAAGCAGGGGAUCGCAAGACCUUGCACUAUUGGAGCGGCCGAUAUCGGAUUAGCUAGUUGGUGGGGUAACGGCUCACCAAGGCGACGAUCCGUAGCUGGUUUGAGAGGACGACCAGCCACACUGGGACUGAGACACGGCCCAGACUCCUACGGGAGGCAGCAGUGGGGAAUUUUGGACAAUGGGGGAAACCCUGAUCCAGCCAUCCCGCGUGUGCGAUGAAGGCCUUCGGGUUGUAAAGCACUUUUGGCAGGAAAGAAACGUCGCGGGUUAAUACCCCGCGAAACUGACGGUACCUGCAGAAUAAGCACCGGCUAACUACGUGCCAGCAGCCGCGGUAA
rnacentral:rRNA from 1 species